rnacentral:lncRNA from 1 species
AGAAUGCCUUUCUUUUGGAAGGACACGUCCUUAAUGAGAGAGGACAGCUCAAAAGCUGAGAAACAGGGCAUGGCCUCGGAUUCUGCUCCCCUCGAACUUUCUUUUUCCCUUUGUCUUCUCUGAUUUUAGAAAAUGUUAACAAGCAGGAAACCUGGAUGAAGACGUGGGCGGUGAGCAAUGGCACACUUUGUCCAUGCUGAUAAAAAGACUAGAGAGUUGACUGGCUCAGUUUACCUUCGCUCCUCCCCUCCCCUCCCCUCCCUCUUUUAAAAAAUAUAGGGCAUGUAUUUAAACUUUUAAAUUUUAAUUUUUUAGGGUUAAAUGAGACAAGGUCCUUAGACUGGGCUGCCCCAGAACUCAGAGAUUCCUCUGCCUGUUUCCUCCUGAGUGCUGGGAUUAAAGAUGUGAGCUGCUCACUCA